rnacentral:rRNA from 1 species
UGCCAGCAGCCGCGGUAAUACGUAGGUGGCAAGCGUUGUCCGGAUUUAUUGGGUUUAAAGGGUGCGUAGGCGGCCUAAUAAGUCAGUGCUGAAAUAUCCCGGCUUAACCGGGAGGGUGGCAUUGAUACUGUCAGGCUUGAGUGUAGUCGAGGUAGGCGGAAUUGACGGUGUAGCGGUGAAAUGCUUAGAUAUCGUCAAGAACACCGAUAGUGUAGACAGCUUACUAGGCUACAACUGACGCUGAGGCACGAAAGUGUGGGGAUCAAACAGGAUUAGAUACCCUGGUAGUCCACACUGUAAACGUUGAUUACUCGCUGUUGGCGAUACACAGUCAGCGGCUUAGCGAAAGCGAUAAGUAAUCCACCUGGGGAGUACGCCGGCAACGGUGAAACUUAAAGGAAUUGGCGGGGG